CCUACGGGAGGCAGCAGUGAGGAAUAUUGGUCAAUGGGCGCGAGCCUGAACCAGCCAAGUAGCGUGAAGGAUGACUGCCCUACGGGUUGUAAACUUCUUUUAUACAGGAAUAAAGUGAGUCACGUGUGCCUUUUUGUAUGUACUUUAUGAAUAAGGAUCGGCUAACCCCGUGACAGCAGCCGCGGUAAUACGGAGGAUCCGAGCGUUAUCCGGAUUUAUUGGGUUUAAAGGGAGCGUAGAUGGGGUGUUAAGUCAGUUGUGAACGUUUGCGGCUCAACCGUAAAAUUGCAAUUGAGACUGGCAGCCUUGAGUGCAGUUGAGGUAGGCGGAAUUCGUGGUGUAGCGGUGAAAUGCUUAGAUAUCACGAAGAACUCCGAUUGCGAAGGCAGCUUACUAAACUGCAACUGACAUUGAUGCUCGAAAGUGUGGGUAUCAAACAGGAUUAGAUACCCGAGUAGUC
rnacentral:rRNA from 1 species